rnacentral:rRNA from 1 species
CUGGCUCAGGAUGAACGCUAGCUACAGGCUUAACACAUGCAAGUCGAGGGGCAUCAUGACGAUAGCUUGCUAUGUUGAUGGCGACCGGCGCACGGGUGAGUAACGCGUAUCCAACCUUCCCCUUAGUAGGGCAUAGCCCGGCGAAGGUCGGAUUAAUACCCUAUGUUAUUCGUCGAGGACAUCUGAAAUGAAUCAAAGGUUUACCGCUAAGGGAUGGGGAUGCGUCUGAUUAGGUAGUAGGCGGGGUAACGGCCCACCUAGCCGACGAUCAGUAGGGGUUCUGAGAGGAAGGUCCCCCACAUUGGAACUGAGACACGGUCCAAGCUCCUACGGGAGGCAGCAGUGAGGAAUAUUGGUCAAUGGGCGCGAGCCUGAACCAGCCAAGUAGCGUGCAGGAUGACGGCCCUAUGGGUUGUAAACUGCUUUUAUGCGGGGAUAAAGUGCGGCACGUGUGCCGUUUUGUAGGUACCGCAUGAAUAAGGACCGGCUAAUUCCGUGCCAGCCGCAGC